GUGUGAGUUUGUGAAUUUUUAAUUUUAAAAUUAUAUUGCUUGCAAAUGUCAAAAAUGCUAAAAGCGUCCCCCAGUGGUUCUAUCUUACUAUCUAUGUAUCAU